AGCGAACGCUGGCGGCAGGCCUAACACAUGCAAGUCGAACGAACCUUUCGGGGUUAGUGGCGGACGGGUGAGGAACACGUGGGAACGUGCCUUUAGGUUCGGAAUAACUCAGGGAAACUUGUGCUAAUACCGAAUGUGCCCUUCGGGGGAAAGAUUAAUCGCCUUUAGAGCGGCCCGCGUCUGAUUAGCUAGUUGGUUGAGGUAAUGGCUCACCAAGGCGACGAUCAGUAGCUGGUCUGAGAGGAUGAUCAGCCACAUUGGGACUGAGACACGGCCCAAACUCCUACGGGAGGCAGCAGUGGGGAAUCUUGCGCAAUGGGCGAAAGCCUGACGCAGCCAUGCCGCGUGAAUGAUGAAGGUCUUAGGAUUGUAAAAUUCUUUCACCGGGGACGAUAAUGACGGUACCCGGAGAAGAAGCCCCGGCUAACUUCGUG
rnacentral:rRNA from 1 species